rnacentral:rRNA from 1 species
UAGGGAAUCUUCGGCAAUGAGGGGAACCCUGACCGAGCAACGCCGCGUGAGUGAAGAAGGUUUUCGGAUCGUAAAGCUCUGUUGUUAAGGAAGAACGAGUGUGAGAAUGGAAAGUUCAUACUGUGACGGUACUUAACCAGAAAGGGACGGCUAACUACGUGCCAGCAGCCGCGGUAAUACGUAGGUCCCGAGCGUUGUCCGGAUUUAUUGGGCGUAAAGCGAGCGCAGGCGGUUAGAUAAGUCUGAAGUUAAAGGCAGUGGCUCAACCAUUGUAGGCUUUGGAAACUGUUUAACUUGAGUGCAGAAGGGGAGAGUGGAAUUCCAUGUGUAGCGGUGAAAUGCGUAGAUAUAUGGAGGAACACCGGUGGCGAAAGCGGCUCUCUGGUCUGUAACUGACGCUGAGGCUCGAAAGCGUGGGGAGCGAACAGG